rnacentral:rRNA from 1 species
AGCCCACCAGCUAGCUCACACCCCAAAAACCAACAUCCCAUGAUACCUAACCCCUAAUACUCUUAAAUACUCAAAACAAACCAUUUUUCCCCCCAAGUAUGGGCGACAGAAAAGGACCUCUGAAGCAAUAGAAACAGUACCGCAAGGGAACGCUGAAAGAGAAAUGAAACAAAUCAAUGAAGCGUAAAAAAGCAGAGCUUAAUCCUCGUACCUUUUGCAUCAUGAUUUAGCAAGAAAACAUCAAGCACAAAGAAUUUUAGUUUGACACCCCGAAACCAAUGUGAGCUACUUCAAGACAGCCUAGAAGGGCGAACCCGUCUCUGUGGCAAAAGAGUGGGAUGAUCUUUAAGUAGAGGUGACAGACCUACCGAACUUGGUUAUAGCUGGUUGCUCAGGAAUUGAAUAGGAGUUCAGCCUUUUGUCCUCUCCCACCACAGCUUGACACUCAUCACAAUGCACUUGAGAGAACAAAGGAGUUAGUCAAAGGGGGUACAGCCCCUUUGAAAAAGACACAACUUUACCAGAAGGGUUAAGAUCAUAUUUUACCUUCAAGGAACGUGUUCUAGUUGGCCUAAAAGCAGCCACCCAUACGGAAAGCGUUAAAGCUCAUACACCUCCCCGCCCGAUUAUCCGGACCACAACAUCUUACCCCCCUACACCUACUGAGCCUCCCCAUACACCUAUGGGAGAGAUUAUGCUAAUAUGAGUAAUAAGAGAACUAGAUUCUCUCCCAGCACGAGUGUACAUCGGAACGAACUCACACCGAAAACUAACGGCCCCAACACGAGAGUGAAAUGGAAUACCAUGGCCAAGCCACUAGAAAAACGUCCAAAACCUGACCGUUAACCUUACACCAGAGUGCUACGCAAGGAAAGACUAAAAGAAAAAGAAGGAACUCGGCA